UCGGGAGGCUGAGGCAGGAGAAUCGUGUGAACCCGGGAGGCAGAACUGCCUCCCGGGUUCAAGCGAUUCUCCUGCCUCAGCCUCUUGA
rnacentral:pre_miRNA from 1 species